CCUACGGGAGGCAGCAGUAGGGAAUCUUCCACAAUGGGCGAAAGCCUGAUGGAGCAACGCCGCGUGGGUGAAGAAGGUCUUCGGAUCGUAAAACCCUGUUGUUAGAGAAGAAAGUGCGUGAGAGUAACUGUUCACGUUUCGACGGUAUCUAACCAGAAAGCCACGGCUAACUACGUGACAGCAGCCGCGGUAAUACGUAGGUGGCAAGCUUUAUCCGGAUUUAUUGGGCGUAAAGGGAGCGCAGGCGGUCUUUUAAGUCUGAUGUGAAAGCCUUCGGCUUAACCGGAGUAGUGCAUUGGAAACUGGGAGACUUGAGUGCAGAAGAGGAGAGUGGAAUUCCAUGUGUAGCGGUGAAAUGCGUAGAUAUAUGGAAGAACACCAGUGGCGAAAGCGGCUCUCUGGUCUGUAACUGACGCUGAGGUUCGAAAGCGUGGGUAGCAAACAGGAUUAGAUACCCCAGUAGUC
rnacentral:rRNA from 1 species